rnacentral:rRNA from 1 species
UAUAACCGGCGAUUUCCGAAUGGGGAAACCCAGUGUGUUUCGACACACUAUCAUUAACUGAAUCCAUAGGUUAAUGAGGCGAACCGGGGGAACUGAAACAUCUAAGUACCCCGAGGAAAAGAAAUCAACCGAGAUUCCCCCAGUAGCGGCGAGCGAACGGGGAGGAGCCCAGAGCCUGAAUCAGUGUGUGUGUUAGUGGAAGCGUCUGGAAAGGCGCGCGAUACAGGGUGACAGCCCCGUACACAAAAAUGCACAUAUUGUGAGCUCGAUGAGUAGGGCGGGACACGUGGUAUCCUGUCUGAAUAUGGGGGGACCAUCCUCCAAGGCUAAAUACUCCUGACUGACCGAUAGUGAACCAGUACCGUGAGGGAAAGGCGAAAAGAACCCCGGCGAGGGGAGUGAAAAAGAACCUGAAACCGUGUACGUACAAGCAGUGGGAGCCUCUUAAUGGGGUGACUGCGUACCUUUUGUAUAAUGGGUCAGCGACUUAUAUUCUGUAGCAAGGUUAACCGAAUAGGGGAGCCGAAGGGAAACCGAGUCUUAACUGGGCGUUAAGUUGCAGGGUAUAGACCCGAAACCCGGUGAUCUAGCCAUGGGCAGGUUGAAGGUUGGGUAACACUAACUGGAGGACCGAACCGACUAAUGUUGAAAAAUUAGCGGAUGACUUGUGGCUGGGGGUGAAAGGCCAAUCAAACCGGGAGAUAGCUGGUUCUCCCCGAAAGCUAUUUAGGUAGCGCCUCGUGAAUUCAUCUCCGGGGGUAGAGCACUGUUUCGGCAAGGGGGUCAUCCCGACUUACCAACCCGAUGCAAACUGCGAAUACCGGAGAAUGUUAUCACGGGAGACACACGGCGGGUGCUAACGUCCGUCGUGAAGAGGGAAACAACCCAGACCGCCAGCUAAGGUCCCAAAGUCAUGGUUAAGUGGGAAACGAUGUGGGAAGGCCCAGACAGCCAGGAUGUUGGCUUAGAAGCAGCCAUCAUUUAAAGAAAGCGUAAUAGCUCACUGGUCGAGUCGGCCUGCGCGGAAGAUGUAACGGGGCUAAACCAUGCACCGAAGCUGCGGCAGCGACACUAUGUGUUGUUGGGUAGGGGAGCGUUCUGUAAGCCUGUGAAGGUGUGCUGUGAGGCAUGCUGGAGGUAUCAGAAGUGCGAAUGCUGACAUAAGUAACGAUAAAGCGGGUGAAAAGCCCGCUCGCCGGAAGACCAAGGGUUCCUGUCCAACGUUAAUCGGGGCAGGGUGAGUCGACCCCUAAGGCGAGGCCGAAAGGCGUAGUCGAUGGGAAACAGGUUAAUAUUCCUGUACUUGGUGUUACUGCGAAGGGGGGACGGAGAAGGCUAUGUUGGCCGGGCGACGGUUGUCCCGGUUUAAGCGUGUAGGCUGGUUUUCCAGGCAAAUCCGGAAAACCAAGGCUGAGGCGUGAUGACGAGGCACUACGGUGCUGAAGCGACAAAUGCCCUGCUUCCAGGAAAAGCCUCUAAGCAUCAGGUAACAUCAAAUCGUACCCCAAACCGACACAGGUGGUCAGGUAGAGAAUACCAAGGCGCUUGAGAGAACUCGGGUGAAGGAACUAGGCAAAAUGGUGCCGUAACUUCGGGAGAAGGCACGCUGAUAUGUAGGUGAAGCGACUUGCUCGUGGAGCUGAAAUCAGUCGAAGAUACCAGCUGGCUGCAACUGUUUAUUAAAAACACAGCACUGUGCAAACACGAAAGUGGACGUAUACGGUGUGACGCCUGCCCGGUGCCGGAAGGUUAAUUGAUGGGGUUAGCGGUAACGCGAAGCUCUUGAUCGAAGCCCCGGUAAACGGCGGCCGUAACUAUAACGGUCCUAAGGUAGCGAAAUUCCUUGUCGGGUAAGUUCCGACCUGCACGAAUGGCGUAAUGAUGGCCAGGCUGUCUCCACCCGAGACUCAGUGAAAUUGAACUCGCUGUGAAGAUGCAGUGUACCCGCGGCAAGACGGAAAGACCCCGUGAACCUUUACUAUAGCUUGACACUGAACAUUGAGCCUUGAUGUGUAGGAUAGGUGGGAGGCUUUGAAGUGUGGACGCCAGUCUGCAUGGAGCCGACCUUGAAAUACCACCCUUUAAUGUUUGAUGUUCUAACGUUGGCCCCUGAUCGGGGUUGCGGACAGUGUCUGGUGGGUAGUUUGACUGGGGCGGUCUCCUCCUAAAGAGUAACGGAGGAGCACGAAGGUUGGCUAAUCCUGGUCGGACAUCAGGAGGUUAGUGCAAUGGCAUAAGCCAGCUUGACUGCGAGCGUGACGGCGCGAGCAGGUGCGAAAGCAGGUCAUAGUGAUCCGGUGGUUCUGAAUGGAAGGGCCAUCGCUCAACGGAUAAAAGGUACUCCGGGGAUAACAGGCUGAUACCGCCCAAGAGUUCAUAUCGACGGCGGUGUUUGGCACCUCGAUGUCGGCUCAUCACAUCCUGGGGCUGAAGUAGGUCCCAAGGGUAUGGCUGUUCGCCAUUUAAAGUGGUACGCGAGCUGGGUUUAGAACGUCGUGAGACAGUUCGGUCCCUAUCUGCCGUGGGCGCUGGAGAACUGAGGGGGGCUGCUCCUAGUACGAGAGGACCGGAGUGGACGCAUCACUGGUGUUCGGGUUGUCAUGCCAAUGGCACUGCCCGGUAGCUAAAUGCGGAAGAGAUAAGUGCUGAAAGCAUCUAAGCACGAAACUUGCCCCGAGAUGAGUUCUCCCUG